UUCACCAAGGGAAGCUGAGUUUGGUGCUGCCCCCUGUGGUGCUGGAGCCCGCGGUGUCCUGAACACGGAGGGGUCACUUACAAAGUUAGAGCUUCACAAGGAGAUGACUGACAGUUUCCUCAGUCUUUUGUGCUGGGCUACAGCCCAGAGGCGAUGAUAAGAAAAGGCAAGCCAGGAUGUCACGCGGUGUUGCUUCAGCCCUUGGUUUCCUCAACUAUAACAAGACGCUGAUGUCCUCCCUCCCCUUUGUCAUUUGAAGGCCAGAAGAGGACACCAGACCCCAUUAAAGAUGUUUGUGAGCCACCAUGUGGUUGCUGGGAAUUGAACUCAGGACCUUUGGAAGAGCAGGCAAUGUUCUUAACCUCUCAGCCAUCUCUCCAGCCCCCCAGAAUGGCUAUUUUAAAAAGCCUACCUGGACAACCAUUCUCCAAUCCUCAGGUGAAGAAACUGAGGCACAGAGGAGUCAAGUGAUUCGGUCAAGGAUAUCGAGCUGGUUAUUGACAGAGGCGCUGCCUGGGACUCCAAAGAGAUAAAGUUUUCUGGCUUGGUUCUCAUGCUAAUAAAGAGAAAGGAGACAAAGGAGGGGAAUAACAUAAAAGACCAUCGUCAAACUCUCGUCUCAAAAUAUUUAAUUUUGUUUGAAAAGGAUACAUUCCCAACUUCCCUCCCUACCACAUCACUCCGGCCCACCAGCAGUGGCACACUCGCACAGGCACACACACACAUAAGGCCAAUGGGCUGCUGUCUGCUUCUACCUCUGCAGCUGGGACAAAGGGUUUUCUCCUGACCUCUUUCCCCCAACAAAGGUAGGGAGAGGGGCCGCUGGAAUGCGGCUCCCGGGGAGGAUGCAGAGCCCCACACAUUCUACCAAUCACA